rnacentral:rRNA from 1 species
UACAGAGGUGGCAAGCGUUGUUCGGAAUUACUGGGCGUAAAGGGCGCGUAGGCGGUCUUGUAAGUCUCGUGUGAAAUCCCUCGGCUUAACUGAGGAACUGCACGGGAUACUGCAUGACUUGAGGUCGGGAGAGGGAAGCGGAAUUCCGGGUGUAGCGGUGAAAUGCGUAGAUAUCCGGAGGAACACCGGUGGCGAAGGCGGCUUCCUGGACCGACUCUGACGCUGAGGCGCGAAAGCGUGGGGAGCAAACGGG